GACGAACGCUGGCGGCGUGCUUAACACAUGCAAGUCGUACGGAAAGGCCCUUUCGGGGGUACACGAGUGGGGAACGGGUGAGUAACACGUGAGUAACCUGCCCACAACUUUCGGUGAACGAACGGCAACUGGCGCUAAUACUGAAUAUAUGCUCCUGCCGCAUGGUGGGGGUUGGAAAGCUCGGGGGGUCGUGGAUGGAUUGCCGGGCUGUCAGCUUGUUGGUGGGGUAGUGGCCUACCAAGGCGGCGAUGGGUAGCCGGCCUGGGAGGGUGACCGGCCACAUUGGGACUGAGAGACGGCCCAGACUCCUAACGGGGGCAAGAGUGGGGAAUAAUGGAAAAUGGGGGCGAGCCUGAUGCAGCAACGCCGCGGGCGGGAUGACGGCCUUCGGGUUGUAAACCGCUUUCAGCAGGUACCAAGCUGUUUGUGACGGUACCUGCAGAAGAAGCACCGGCUAACUACGUG
rnacentral:rRNA from 1 species